rnacentral:rRNA from 1 species
AUACGUAGGGGGCAAGCGUUAUCCGGAUUUACUGGGUGUAAAGGGAGCGUAGACGGUUUGGCAAGUCUGAUGUGAAAGCCCGGGGCUCAACCGCGGGGCUGCAUUGGAAACUGUCAGACUUGAGUGCAGGAGAGGUAAGUGGAAUUCCUAGUGUAGCGGUGAAAUGCGUAGAUAUUAGGAGGAACACCGGUGGCGAAGGCGGCUUACUGGACUGUAACUGACGUUGAGGCUCGAAAGCGUGGGGAGCAAACAGGAUUAGAUACCCUGGUAUUCCACGCCGUAAACGAUGAAUACUAGGUGUUGGGAGACAAUAGUUUCUCGGUGCCGCAGCAAACGCAAUAAGUAUUCCACCUGGGGAGUACGUUCGCAAGAAUGAAACUCAAAUGAAUUGACGGGG